ACCUUUGGGGCUGAGACCUGGUGCUGACCCUGAGUAACCCCCAGAUGCCACUGGAGGGCACAGGUGGGUCUCAGCAGAUGGGAUGGGGUGUUUGGGGGAGGGAGAGACAUCCCUCUAAGAGUCUGUUAGAUAAAUGGGGAAAUCAGGCGGGGAGGAGGGUCCCCCCAGCAAAUUCCAGCACUAGGGGCUGGGGUGACUUGUAAGAGGCUGAGGUAUUGGGUUGAGGGGCAGCGACCGACUUAAGUGAGGUGCUGGGCGAAGGUGUUUGUGAAUGCCGCCCCUGCCCCUCUCCUCCUGGGAGGGUCUCUGAGACGUGGGGGGUGGAGGGGUGGGGUGGGGGAUGCACACAGAAGCCCAAAUGGGCGCCAGAAAUGGGCGGUGAGGGUCCGGGUGGCUCAAGCUGACCUGACGCUGUGCCCUGUUCCCUUGUAGAGAAGGCCAGCUGGUCGGGGAAGCAGCCCCAGUUCUGGUCAAAGGCCCAGGUUUCUGGACUGGAUCAGCUACCAAGUGGAGAAGAACAAAUACGACGCGAGUUCCAUCGACUUCUCGCGGUGUGACAUGGACGGGGCCACGCUCUGCAACUGUGCCCCCGAGGAGCUGGCGCCUAGUCUUUCGGGCCUCUGGGGGACCAACUCUAAUCCCAGCUGUGGGGACCUCACUUCCAGCUUUCCUGAUGAACUCAGCUGGAUCAUUGAGCUGCUGGAGAAGGACAGCAUGGCCUUCCAGGAGACCCUGGGCCCCUUUGACCAGGGAAGCCCCUUCAGCCAAGAGAUGCUGGAGGAGUGCCGGCAGGCCGGCCCCUACUUCCCUGGCAGCUACGGCCCAGGAGCCCCCUCCCCCGGCAGCUCUGAUGUCUCCACCGCAGGUGAGCACCCUCGUCCAGGCCACAGCCUCCCUUUCCCCGAAACAUCCCGCAGCCCUUGGUUACUGCACUAGAGCCCAGGCUUCCUGCGAGGAACAGGUGCGGGCCUGGGCAGCGACCCCCCCAGAAGGUAUGGACUCACUCUGCCCCCCUCCCCCCCCCAGGGACUGGUACUUCCCAGAGUCCCCCACUCCUCAGACUCCGGUGCAAUGUGACGUGGACCUGGAUCCAGUGACAGCAAGCUGUUCUCUAGGGGUGAGUGGGGACUCAGUGGGCAGUGCCCAUGGGGCUGAUCCUUCCCCUCAUCCUUGCUCGCCUGUAGGGUUUCCCUCCGGUACAGGAGCUGCCCCCUCAAGCCCCCCAUUCCUUUCCCUCCUGACCUUGCACUCCUCUGUCUUAGACGGCUUUCCUGACUAUAAGAAGGGGGGAUCCUAA
rnacentral:lncRNA from 1 species